rnacentral:rRNA from 1 species
GACGAACGCUGGCGGCGUGCUUAACACAUGCAAGUCGAACGAAGAGCGAUGGAAGCUUGCUUCUAUCAAUCUUAGUGGCGAACGGGUGAGUAACGCGUAAUCAACCUGCCCUUCAGAGGGGGACAACAGUUGGAAACGACUGCUAAUACCGCAUACGAUCUAACCUUGGCAUCGAGGAUGGAUGAAAGGUGGCCUCUAUUUAUAAGCUAUCACUGAAGGAGGGGAUUGCGUCUGAUUAGCUAGUUGGAGGGGUAACGGCCCACCAAGGCGAUGAUCAGUAGCCGGUCUGAGAGGAUGAACGGCCACAUUGGGACUGAGACACGGCCCAGACUCCUACGGGAGGCAGCAGUGGGGAAUCUUCCGCAAUGGACGAAAGUCUGACGGAGCAACGCCGCGUGAGUGAUGACGGCCUUCGGGUUGUAAAGCUCUGUUAAUCGGGACGAAAGGCCUUCUUGCGAAUAGUGAGAAGGAUUGACGGUACCGGAAUA